GCUCAGAGAGGGGUCAAUGUCCUAUCAGCUAGUUGGUGGGGUAAUGGCCUACCAAGGCAAAGACGGGUAGUCGGCCUGAGAGGGUGGUCGGCCACACUGGGACUGAGACACUGCCCAGACUCCUACGGGAGGCUGCAGUCGAGAAUCUUUCGCAAUGCCCGAAAGGGUGACGAAGCGACGCCGCGUGUGGGAAGAAGGCCUUCGGGUUGUAAACCACUGUCGGGAGUUAGGAAAUGUAAGGGUGUUAAUAGCAUCCUUACUUGACUAAGGCUCCGGAGGAAGCCACGGCUAACUCUGUGCCAGCAGCCGCGGUAAUACAGAGGCGGCAAGCGUUGUUCGGAAUUAUUGGGCGUAAAGAGCACGUAGGCGGCCUUGUAAGUCAGUUGUGAAAGCCUUCUGCUUAACGGAAGAACAGCAGCUGAUACUGCAAGGCUAGAGUGCGGAAGGG
rnacentral:rRNA from 1 species